UGCAGUCGAGCGAACAGACGAGGAGCUUGCUCCUYUGAYGUUAGCGGCGGACGGGUGAGUAACACGUGGAUAACCUACCUAUAAGACUGGGAUAACUUCGGGAAACCGGAGCUAAUACCGGAUAACAUGUUGAACCGCAUGGUUCAACAGUGAAAGACGGUCUUGCUGUCACUUAUAGAUGGAUCCGCGCCGCAUUAGCUAGUUGGUAAGGUAACGGCUUACCAAGGCAACGAUGCGUAGCCGACCUGAGAGGGUGAUCGGCCACACUGGAACUGAGACACGGUCCAGACUCCUACGGGAGGCAGCAGUAGGGAAUCUUCCGCAAUGGGCGAAAGCCUGACGGAGCAACGCCGCGUGAGUGAAGAAGGUCUUCGGAUCGUAAAACUCUGUUAUUAGGGAAGAACAAAUGUGUAAGUAACUAUGCACGUCUUGACGGUACCUAAUCAGAAAGCCACGGCUAACUACGUGCCAGCAGCCGCGGUAAUACGUAGGUGGCAAGCGUUAUCCGGAAUUAUUGGGCGUAAAGCGCGCGUAGGCGGUUUUUUAAGUCUGAUGUGAAAGCCCACGGCUCAACCGUGGAGGGUCAUUGGAAACUGGAAAACUUGAGUGCAGAAGAGGAAAGUGGAAUUCCAUGUGUAGCGGUGAAAUGCGCAGAGAUAUGGAGGAACACCAGUGGCGAAGGCGACUUUCUGGUCUGUAACUGACGCUGAUGUGCGAAAGCGUGGGGAUCAAACAGGAUUAGAUA
rnacentral:rRNA from 1 species